rnacentral:rRNA from 1 species
CACGUAGGGUGCAAGCGUUUGUCCGGAAUUAUUGGGCGUAAAGGGCUCGUAGGCGGUCCGUCACGUCGGGAGUGAAAACUCGGGGCUCAACCCCGAGCCUGCUUUCGAUACGGGCGGACUAGAGGUAGGUAGGGGAGAACGGAAUUCCUGGUGUAGCGGUGGAAUGCGCAGAUAUCAGGAGGAACACCGGUGGCGAAGGCGGUUCUCUGGGCCUUACCUGACGCUGAGGAGCGAAAGCGUGGGGAGCGAACAGG